rnacentral:rRNA from 1 species
GACGAACGCUGGCGGCGUGCUUAACACAUGCAAGUCGAACGGUGAAGCUCCAGCUUGCUGGAGUGGAUCAGUGGCGAACGGGUGAGUAACACGUGAGCAACCUGCCCCUGACUCUGGAAUAAGCGCUGGAAACGGCGUCUAAUACUGGAUACGAGAAGGGUCCGCAUGGGCACUUUCUGGAAAGUUUUUCGGUUGGGGAUGGGCUCGCGGCCUAUCAGCUUGUUGGUGAGGUAAUGGCUCACCAAGGCGACGACGGGUAGCCGGCCUGAGAGGGCGACCGGCCACACUGGGACUGAGACACGGCCCAGACUCCUACGGGAGGCAGCAGUGGGGAAUAUUGCACAAUGGGCGAAAGCCUGAUGCAGCGACGCCGCGUGAGGGAUGACGGCCUUCGGGUUGUAAACCUCUUUCAGCAGGGAAGAAGCGAAAGUGACGGUACCUGCAGAAGAAGCACCGGCUAAUUACGUG